AGCUAAUGCCGGAUGAGACCACCGAUCCCCUUCGGGGGUUGCGGCCAAAGGAUGGCCUCUACUUGUAAGCUAUCGCUGAGGGAUGGGCCUGCGGGCCAUUAGCUUGUUGGUGAGGUAACGGCUCACCAAGGCUGUGAUGGCUAGCUGGUCUGAGAGGAUGACCAGCCACACUGGGACUGAGACAGGCCCAGACUCCUACGGGAGGCAGCAGUGGGGAAUAUUGCGCAAUGGGCGAAAGCCUGACGCAGCGACGCCGCGUGGGUGAUGAAGGCCUUCGGGUCGUAAAGCCCUGUCGCAGGGGAAGAAUAAGCAUCGGUAUAAUACGCCGGUGCCCUGACGGUACCCUGCAAGAAAGCACCGGCUAACUCCGUG
rnacentral:rRNA from 1 species